rnacentral:rRNA from 1 species
AACGAACGCUGGCGGCAUGCCUAACACAUGCAAGUCGAACGAGACCUUCGGGUCUAGUGGCGCACGGGUGCGUAACGCGUGGGAACCUGCCCUUAGGUUCGGAAUAACUCCCCGAAAGGGGUGCUAAUACCGGAUAAUGUCUUCGGACGAAAGAUUUAUCGCCUUUGGAUGGGCCCGCGUUGGAUUAGCUAGUUGGUAGGGUAAAAGCCUACCAAGGCGACGAUCCAUAGCUGGUCUGAGAGGAUGAUCAGCCACACUGGGACUGAGACACGGCCCAGACUCCUACGGGAGGCAGCAGUGGGGAAUAUUGGACAAUGGGCGAAAGCCUGAUCCAGCAAUGCCGCGUGAGUGAUGAAGGCCUUAGGGUUGUAAAGCUCUUUUACCCGGGAUGAUAAUGACAGUACCGGGAGAAUAAGCGCCGGCUAACUCCGUG